rnacentral:rRNA from 1 species
GAAGAUUAUUCCACGAUGGUAUCAUGAGUUCACAUGUCCGCAUGAUUAAAG